GCGGAUACAGUCAGACCAGAGAUCAUGACUGUUAACUUCUCAGUCGCAGUGAGGACAACUUUCAGACACGUCGACCACAGCAGACAAACCGGAAGCUUUUCAGGACCGCAGACCUGCAAGUGACAAGACAGGCUGAAACAAAUUCUCAGAAGAAAAAUGGGUCAAGAUCUUCAAACCUAAUGAUCAACUACUGGAAGUAGAAGUAAGUGUAGUACAUCCAGGACCUGUGUGAGCUGCUACAGACGUACGGGGAUUCCCUGGAAUUCACUCAGUUACUGACCCUGGUUAAUGCAAAAGUGUCAAAGUGUAAAAGUGUAAGUAAAAUGUCUAAACAAUCAGUUUGUUAAAAUGAGCUUGACUAAUUGGUUCCCAAACUCUAACUGCAUGUUCCUGCAGCAUGUAACCAGUGCUGCCAGUUGUACUUGUUCAAAAAGCAGCAGUGUGUUAGUGAAAAAGUGUUAGUGACAAAUCUUCAUGGCUUCACCUCAUUCAUCUGUUCAAGCGGCAGCUGAAGGUGUGUCGAGAGUCUAAGGCGCCUCAGGUCCUCCUCCACCUGAAACACUGUUAGGACGACCGUUAGCGGACGGAGACACAGGUUAAUGGUAUGAUGUACUGUGGAGUUUAUAGGUAAUGGAGAUGACCUCUAUUACAUAUACAAAGAUGUCAUAAGAUGGACUAUUAAAUUCACUGGUAUUUAAAGGUUGGACCAAACGGUUAAAAUUUCAUUUAAUACCUAAAAUCUUUUAAUUAAAAUUUAUUUGAACUGCUUUCUUUUUUUUACUGAGUGAGACAGUUCGUCCUUCAGCUCAUUGAAUUUCUGCACAUUGAAUUUCCUCUUUUUGCCUCGUUUUAUCCUUCUGCUUCACGUCCUCCUUCUCAACAUCAACAUCAGGGUUAUUUGUGUUUAGAAACAAAUGUUUGUACCUGUUUCAGACGGCUGAACGGCAUAAACUGCAUCAGGGAUUUCCUUCCACAUCUUCAGCUGAAUGUUCAGCUGGAAUGGGUCUAAACAGGCCUGAGACAGGAACGCUAGUGGGUGGUACCUCACUGGUAUUUUUCUACAGCAUUUAAAACAAGUUCUGACUAAUUGUCUGGUUGAGUCCAACACCAACAUUCUUACCACAUACACUAGCAGAGUCUCAUACUGUAUAAAUGUGGAACCUGAAAAAGCUGAUUUUCUGCAAACAGUGAUUUUCUAACUCAUAUUCUCUGUAAAUAUUGUGGUUGAUAAACUUAAUGAGUCCAUUUAAUGGGUCACAUUAUUUCACAAUAUGCUUGAUAACAACUUACAAUGUCUCAUAAUAUUAUCUGUUAUUUUGAUUUUUAAAUUCCUCCUACUCCAGAUGUUUUCAUUUCAACUUUUUUUCUUUACUUUCCUCAGUGUUUUUUCAGUUUUAGUCAGAUUUCUUAAGGAACAAACCUGUUUUUCACAGUCUGGGGUCAAUUCCAAAGUCACCAGCGUGACUGUCUGAGUGUCAUUUGUAUUUGUUGCUUCCUCACGUCUGCGCGGGGUCUGUGCGGUAUCAGCACUGGCUGCGCAGCUUCUCACUGUGUUACGCAUCAAGAACGCACAAGGGCAAAAGCCAUUGUUGAAAAAAAGCCAUUGUUGAAAAUGUUUUGUAUCGUUUGUGCCUAUUUAAUUGACAUUAUUGAUACCGUACAUCUGAACCUUUGCUUAAAUAAGGGCGUACGCCAUGUUUUCUUGUGUAAGGACCCUUUGUAUAUGAGCCCUCAGAACAAAUAUUCAACUACAGAGACAAUAUGCAAGAAAACAGAAACAUCAAGACAAAAGAUAAUUUUAUCAGCAAACCAUCAACAAGAACAUGUUUUGCCACUGUUGUCACAGCAAGGUUUUCUUAAUCUUUCUUGUUUAUGUUUUUAUUUUUGCUCCUUAUGCUUUGUGGAACCAAAUACAUCCAAAUAAAUGUUCAGCUUGUUUAACGCUUCCA